rnacentral:rRNA from 1 species
AUACGGAAGGUCCGGGCGUUAUCCGGAUUUAUUGGGUUUAAAGGGAGCGCAGGCGGAGAUGCAAGCGUGACGUCAAAUUUCGGGGCUCAACCCCGUCUCGCGUCGCGAACUGCGUCCCUUGGUUGCGGGAAGGGGAGGCGGAACUCGUGGUGUAGCGGGGGAAUGCAUAGAUAUCACGAAGAACUCCGAUCGCGAAGGCAGCCUUCCGGCCCGUCAACGACGCUCAUGCUCGAAGGUGCGGGUAUCAAACAGGAUUAGAUACCCUGGUAGUCCGCACAGUAAACGAUGGACACCCGCGGUUUGGCCUGUAUGGCUGAGCCGCCAAGCGAAAGCGUUAAGUGUCCCACCUGGGGAGUACGCCGGCAACGGUGAAACUCAAAGGAAUUGACGGGG